rnacentral:pre_miRNA from 1 species
AGAGUGGAUUUGAGCCAAGGAUGACUUGCCGGCAUUUGCUUUAAUGAAUAUUUCAAUUUUGGGCUUUGUCGGUAGUUAGCCUUGGCUCAAAUUUAUUCCCU